rnacentral:rRNA from 1 species
AUGGCUCUGCCCAUUCAUCUGAUGACGGUUCUUCCCAUGCCGGCUUGGGCUUUAAAGAUCAUGAAUAGACGUUGUCGUGGGUUUAUUUGGAAGGGGGAAGAGGAGAUCAGUGGAGGGCAUUGUUUGCUACCCUGGUCUAGAGUUUGUUUACCCUUGGAGAUGGGAGGCCUCGGCAUAAUUAACCUCAAGUGGUUCGGCAUGGCCCUUCACUGCAAAUGGCCAUGGUUAAGAUGGGAUACUGAAGAGAGACCUUGGCAGCUGUUGCCCGACGCUAGUGAGAAGGACGUGCGGGACAUGUUCAGCGCGGCGUGUCGCAUCAACCUGGGCGAUGGAGAUCGAGCAAGAUUUUGGACUGACAACUGGCUCCCGGAUGGUCAGUCUAUUGCUAAAUUGGCGCCGGAGCUGUUUUCCUUUGUUAGGAAAAGGGAUAGAUCGGUGA